rnacentral:rRNA from 1 species
AUUGAACGCUGGCGGCAGGCCUAACACAUGCAAGUCGAACGAGUGGCGGACGGGUGAGUAAUGUCUGGGAAACUGCCCGAUGGAGGGGGAUAACUACUGGAAACGGUAGCUAAUACCGCAUACCAUCGGAUGUGCCCAGAGGGGAUUAGCGAGUAGGUGGGGUAACGGCUCACCAAGGCCACGAUGCCUAGCUGGUCUGAGAGGAUGACCAGCCACACUGGAACUGAGACACGGUCCAGACUCCUACGGGAGGCAGCAGUGGGGAAUCUUGCACAAUGGGCGCAAGCCUGAUGCAGCCAUGCCGCGUGUAUGAAGAAGGCCUUCGGGUUGUAAAGUACUGUCAUCGGGGAGGCGUUACUCGCCCAAGAAGCCCCGGCUAACUCCGUGCCAGCAGCCGCGGUAAUAC